AAUAAAUUAAUUUUUCACCUUUUACCUAUAAUUUUUUACUCUUCGUCUUAUUCAAAUUUUUUUAUUGAUAUUUUUGUUUUUAUUAGAUGAUAAAUCAUGAAUAGUACUUUACGUAUGACUAAUUUUUUUCUAAUUUUCUAAAAAAAAUAAGACGAAUGGUCAAACGGUGGACACAGAAACC
rnacentral:pre_miRNA from 1 species